GAUGAACGCUGGCGGCGUGCCUAAUACAUGCAAGUCGAGCGAACAGACGAGGAGCUUGCUCCUCUGACGUUAGCGGCGGACGGUUGAGUAACACGUUGAUAACCUACCUAUAAGACUGGGAUAACUUCGGGAAACCGGAGCUAAUACCGGAUAAUAUAUUGAACCGCAUGGUUCAAUAGUGAAAGACGGUUUUGCUGUCACUUAUAGAUGGAUCCGCGCCGCAUUAGCUAGUUGGUAAGGUAACGGCUUACCAAGGCGAAGAUGCGUAGCCGACCUGAGAGGGUGAUCGGCCACACUGGAACUGAGACAAGGUCCAGACUACUACGGGAGGCAGCAGUAGGGAAUCUUCCGAAAUGGGCGAAAGCCUGACGGAGCAACGCCGCGUGAGUGAUGAAGGUCUUCGGAUCGUAAAACUCUGUUAUUAGGGAAGAACAAAUGUGUAAGUAACUAUGCACGUCUUGACGGUACCUAAUCAGAAAGCCACGGCUAACUACGUG
rnacentral:rRNA from 1 species